CAAGGCCCCAUGAAAUAGGGGGGCCAGAAUGGCGUGAGUCUGAGCACAUAGAUCUGGCAUGGAGGUGCGUCCGUAUGGGCGUGUUCGGUUCGCAAGAACUGGAUCUGUGAGGUGGCAUUCGUCGCUGCAGGCCUUUGUGUCAGUUGUUCUGCUGGCCCUCUCACUUUCUCUGGGCGUAUGUCACGACCGUCGUUGCUGUCGGUCUGCUCCGUCUAAACCGCAUCAUGAGUAGUCUUGUGCUUCUCGUGGUAUGGAGGCAGGUAGCCGGUACAGCUUUCUAGUUGGACUGGUGUUAUUGCUGGGCGGAGUGGUACCUGUAACUGUGCAGUGCGGCGGGGCUGGCGGUGCAUUGGUUUCCGGGCGUGCUAAAACAUUCUGGCGUGACGUGGGUCUGGCUGCUUGUUGCUAUCUAUGAUGGCCUUGUGGCGGCUCUGUUGCGGUUUGGAGUGUGGCUGCGUCUGGGCAUUCUUUGCGUUGAGCCAAUAGUCUGUGGCGUAGUGGUAGACGAU
rnacentral:rRNA from 1 species